GUGCUUGUUUCGGCAGCAGCACAUACACUAAAAUUGAAAUGAUACAGAGGAGAUCAGCAUGGCCUCUGUGCAAGAUGCAAAUUCAUGAAUCUCCAGUCCCAUGUUUUU
ensembl:snRNA U6 U6 spliceosomal RNA